rnacentral:rRNA from 1 species
GACGAAGGGGCUAGCGUUGUUCGGAAUUACUGGGCGUAAAGCGCGCGUAGGCGGUCUUUCAAGUCAGGAGUGAAAGCCCCGGGCUCAACCCGGGAAUAGCUCUUGAUACUGUUGGACUUGAGUCCGGGAGAGGAUAGUGGAAUUCCCAGUGUAGAGGUGAAAUGCGUAGAUAUCAGGAGGAACACCUGUGGCGAAAGCGGCGCACUGGACCACAACUGACGCUGAGGCGCGAAAGCUAGGGGAGCAAACAGG